AAACGCGGCCCCUGUGGUAGGUAAGGUCCGUUGGAGUAGCACAGACUGCGUCUCCCUUGUGCUCAUUUACAUGCUGUUUUUCAGCUUAAAGCCUGAGCUGAACGUUUUGCCCGUCUCUCUCUCUGGUGCUGCGUCUUCUCCUUCUUUGAGGGUUCCUGGCUGGGACAGGCCGGGUCUGGUCCCGUGUUAACGCAGUUAUACAGAGAUAAAAGGUUCCUUUAAUGGCUCCUCAGUGGAUAGACGUGCAGUGGCAUGCAACACCACCUGCACUCUGUGAGAGGACACGAUUCAGCAGGAGCCACGGGGCCUUCGGUCAGCAUCGCCCCACGGUGCGCUGUAAUGAGUUGCUGAGCUUAAUGAGAGCUAAUGUCAUCACGGCCAUUGAACCCCUCUUGCCACGAGGCCCUGCUGGCGCCUCCCGCUGCGUUGCCGCUAAACAGCAACGUGGAAACCAGGCUGGUGGCAGCGAGCUUGAUAGCAGGCCUGCUGCAGUUUGGGCUCUGAAGCAGAUGGAUCGCAUGGAGGAGGACAAGAGCCUGUGGAGUUCGUAAUGGAUCCAAUCACAAGUCAGGGCAGCUGGGUUAAUGUUGGGGAUAAUUCUCUGUCUUUAUUUUGACCAUGAACUAACUACUAGUGGUGGUGAAAUUUAACAGCUUUGAUUCACACGCAAACUUUUCAGCUUAAACUUCAAGAUUGGAUUUCAGGUUUGCACAUAAAUGAAGUGAUUGCAGAGGUUCUCCAGGUAAAAAUCCUGAUCUGUUUAUGUAUGUAGAAUGAACUACUUUCAAAAUUAUACUGUGAAACUGGAGUUACAUGGAGUCCCAUUUGUGGCCCCUAUGGCAUCAGAGAUGCUCAAAAACCCCUUUAGAAGCUCUAACAGUAAAAUCAGAAAUAGAAAUUGAAAUACAUUUUAUUGUCCCACAGAGGGGAAAUUCACAGUAACAAAGUGACAGGCAAAUUAAGCAAGUAGAUUCACACAAAGAUACAAGAAAUAUUAAAAAAAUAUAUCAUAAAAACAGAAUUACGACUAAAAAAUAGUAUUCAGUUAUUAAAAAUAGCAUAUUCUGAUCAAAACAAAUGUGCAACUUAACAGGAUAAUUUAAAAGCAUGUACACAUUCAACAACCUAAUUACAAUAAGUGACAAUAAAAACUAAGUUG